UUUGAGAAGAUAAUUAAGAAGGAGAUUUUAAUGCAUGUUGAACACCAUCUUGACCCCUUCCAGUUUGCCUAUAGAGCAGGGAGAGGUGUGGAGGAUGCUGCUGUCACACUCCUGCAUCUCUUGUAUAAGCAUCUUGAGGCCCCCCACACCCACGCAAGAUUAUUAUUUGCUGACUUUUCAUCGGCAUUCAAUACAAUUCAACCCCUCUUAUUUGCUGACAGGCUCUACAAUCAUUUCAAGCUUGACACUAGUCUGGUCCGCUGGGUGACAGACUUUCUGACUAAUAGGUCACAAUGUGUGAGGGUGAAUCAUGUGUUUUCUGAUGUGCUCUCCUCCUCUACUGCAUCACCCCAGGGUUGCUGCCUCUCUCCCCUUCUGUUCUUUCUGUACACAAAUGAGUGUUGCAGCAAUUUCACGAACAGACACAUCCUGAAGUUUGGUGAUGACACAGUGAUCGUCAGUCUUCUUGUGGGGGCGAGUCAGGCCAUGGACAGGUUGUAGAUGAUUUUGUGGAUUGGUGUGAUGAGUCCUUCCUGUCACUAAAUGUGUCAAAAACUAAAGACAUGAUUAUUGAUUUUAGGAAGUCCUCUUAUAGCUCAUCACCCACUAUCAUUAACCUUAACCCAAUUUCCCUCAGGAUGAAUAAAGUAUUAUCAAUCAAUCAUUAAAACUGCUGAUAUUGGGAUCGUUGAGAGUUAUAAAUAUCUAGGUGUGCUUGACCAUAAAGAAUCUCAUGCUGGCCACUACUAAAAAAGUUCAACAAAGACUGUUCUUUUUAAGGAAAAUGAGAUCUUUUAAUGUCUCAUCCGAGAUGUUGUCUUUGUUUUAUAGAUGUUUUAUCGAAUCUGUGAUGUCUUUUUGUAUCGCUGCCUGGUUUGGUAACCUGACGGUGAAGAAUAAGAAUCGAUUCGGUCUUCUGGUAAAAACUGCUAGCAAAAUUUCAGGGCGCUGGCAAGAUGGACUUUUGGCUAUUUACAAUAAAAAUGUGCUUAUAAAGGUUCAUUCUAUUGUUAAUUGUUUGAACCAUCCACUUCACAGUGAGUUUGAGCUGUUGCCUUUAGUUGCCGUCGUUUUAGAGUACCUGUGAGGAAGACCAAAAGACUCCAGGUAUCUUUUAUCCCUACUGCAUCCUGUCUCCUAAAUAGCAUAUAACCGUCUGGGGAUUUUCUAUUACUAUUAUUGUCGUUUUAUAUUAUUGUUUUGUUUACUUUUUUGUUUACCUUUAUCCGGCUGCUAAACUAAUUUCCCUUUUGGGAAAAUAAAGAAUUUGACAUGAACAGCAGAUUGAAGAUUGGUGUAGUGACCUGUCCUGUAUUUGCAUACAACAAAGGUGUCUCACCACCUAUCCCAAGACCCUCUUCUGGAGCUCUCUCUCCCGUUGUUUGAUGCAUGCUCAAUCAUCCAGGGGAAACGGAUAGGAACACAGCCGGACCAGCUGGCUGCAAAUCUCUGCAAUCUGCUGCUUAGCUGGCCACCAGAUCUAUCCCUUAGCCGAGGUUCUUCUUCGAGUCGACCCCCUGACCUAUCCUUUACAGGCCUCAGGAUUGGGCCACUUCCAGAGAUGUUGUCCCAGGUGUUUGGAAAUAUUAGCCUCCCUGUGAAUCUGCAUUUGGGUCCUCAUUCACCCCCAACACGAUGAGUAAAAGAAACCCUACAGGGCCAGCUCUGUUCUAGGAUGCCCUCUGGACCCAGUGGAGGUGGUGAGUGACAGGAGAACGGCGGCUAAGCUGUCAUCCCUGUUGGACAACAUCUCCCACCCCAUGCAGCAGACUGUGACAGCACUGAGCAGCUCCUUCAGUGGGAGACUGCGGCACCCACGGUGUGGGACGGAGAGAUUUCGCAGGUCUUCCCUCCCCACUGCUGUCAGACUCCAUAAUAAAGACUUUAACUGAUCAAACACACACAUCCACACAUGUGCAAUAACACUAAGUGCAAUACUUUUCUGGCAUCGUUAUAUUUUUACUCAGAAUACAAAUGCUAUAUACAACUAUUUUUAUCUUAUUGUAUAUUUUAUUCUACUGUAUAUAGUAUUUUAUUUUAUUCUAUUCUGUACAGUUGUGUACUGUAUUUAUUCUUAUUGUAUUCUAAUUUUUGCUUCAUAACUUUUGCACUGUCCACUUCCUGCCGUGACAAAACAAAUUUCCCACGUGUGGGACUAAUAAAAGUUAUCUUAUCUUAUCUUAUCUUAUCUUAUCUUAUCUUUUGGACUUUAACCUGCGCCUGACUUCCUUCACAUUAACCUUGCAUCAGGAUGCCAGACAGCUAGGCAGCGAAGGACUGAUGGAAUCAGGGUCUGCAGCUUUGCCUGGGUGUAGUUCCAUCAGCUGCCUCCUCACCUGGCCAGCCGUCACAGUCACGUGUCAAGAAAGGUGAAUCUGAAAGGAGGAUGUGGGUGGGGUGCUUACCCGAGCCCAACACGUAUGAAGGGACAUGUACUGUUGGUUUGUUUGAUGGCUGAGGUGUUGAGAUUGUGUUGUGUGAGGAGGUUCAAAAAGGGCCCAGUGCUGAACCUGCUGAAAAACAAAUUCAGCUCAGUGGCUUUAUCCAGCCCAUUUGCUAGUGCUGAUGUCUUUGAGUUUGGCGAUCAAUCAGCGUAAUCCUCAUCUAUGUUUGAUGUUCAGCUGGAGAUUGGUCUCAGCCACUUCGUAUCUUUACACUAAGCCAAGCCUUCAGUUCACACUGUAUACUUCUCAACUCAUCCAUUUUCCCAGGCCUGAAGAUUUUUCAUUGAGGAGGGCGACCAGUGACCUUGUGAUCCAGAGUGAUGUCAUCCCAUGAGGACACAGAGCAUGUCUCAGUGUGGUGUGAAUGUAGUCCUGCAGGGCCUCACUGGCGUCCUCACUUCACCUCCUCCAAGACUUGGUGGCAAGACUGACACUAUGGCUCAGCAACUGUCAUUGUACCUAAAGAAAAUAAACUUCCUCAAAUAGCAUAUUUUAUACAUUGUUGUUGUUCCCCGUUUCUCCUUUCAGUGUUAUGUUGAAAAAGUCAAAUUAAGUUUAAAAACCCUCCCUCUCUGAUUCAAAGACAUGGAAGAGCAA
ensembl:lncRNA